GACGAACGCUGGCGGCGUGCUUAACACAUGCAAGUCGAACGAUGAAGCCGGAGCUUGCUCUGGUGAAUUAGUGGCGAACGGGUGAGUAACACGUGAGUAACCUGCACUUGACUCUGGGCUAACUGCGGGAAACUGUAGCUAAUACCGGAUACGACCCUCGGAGGCAUCUCCUGGGGGUGGAAAGAAUUUCGGUCAAGGAUGGACUCGCGGCCGAUCAGCUAGUUGGUGAGGUAAAGGCGCACCAAGGCGACGACGGGUAGCCGGCCUGGGAGGGUGACCGGCCACACUGGGCCGCGGACACUGCCCACACUCCUACGGGAGGCAGCAGUGGGAAAUAUUGCACAAUGGGCGCAAGCCUGAUGCAGCAACGCCGCGUGAGGGAGGACGGCCUUCGGGUUGUAAACCUCUUGUAGCAGGGAAGUUGCGAAAGUGGCGGUACCUGCGGAAAAAGCACCGGCUAACUACGUGCCAGCCGCCGCAGUAA
rnacentral:rRNA from 1 species